GGAUUAUCUCCAGUUUGUGAAUCAGAAGACAGAAUUUCAGAGAGAAUGUGGUUUGUAGAAGCUCUUCUUAACACAGACUAUGUGGGAUACAUACAGGAGCACAUUGCUGGCAAUGAACACGGAGCUGCUGGACUGUCAGCUAAAACAGAGCACAGGCUCCGGACGCGCAGGCUCAGUGGCCAUGGCCCAC